CAAGCGUUGUUCGGAAUUACUGGGCGUAAAGGGCGCGUAGGCGGCUUUUCAAGUCCGGCGUGAAAUCCCUGGGCUCAACCCAGGAACUGCGUCCGAUACUGGUUGGCUUGAAUCCGGGAGAGGGAUGUGGAAUUCCAGGUGUAGCGGUGAAAUGCGUAGAUAUCUGGAGGAACACCGGUGGCGAAGGCGACAUCCUGGACCGGUAUUGACGCUGAGGCGCGAAAGCCAGGGGAGCAAACGGG
rnacentral:rRNA from 1 species